rnacentral:rRNA from 1 species
UACAGAGGGGGCAAGCGUUGUUCGGAAUUACUGGGCGUAAAGGGCGCGUAGGCGGCCUGCUAAGUCGAACGUGAAAUCCCUGGGCUCAACCCAGGAACUGCGUCUGAUACUGGUUGGCUUGAAUCCGGGAGAGGGAUGCGGAAUUCCAGGUGUAGCGGUGAAAUGCGUAGAUAUCUGGAGGAACACCGGUGGCGAAGGCGGCAUCCUGGACCGGCAUUGACGCUGAGGCGCGAAAGCCAGGGGAGCAAACGGG